rnacentral:rRNA from 1 species
AAUGAACGUUGGCGGCGUGGAUUAGGCAUGCGAGUCGUGCGAGAACCGUAGCAAUACGGGGACAGCGGCGAAAGGGAGAGGAACACGUGGAUACCUACCCUCAGGUUCAGGAUAGCUAUGGGAAACUAUAGGUAAUACUGAAUAAUAUCUCCGGAUCAAAGGUGUGAUUCCGCCGGAGGAGGGGUCCGCGUCCUAUUAGCUAGUUGGUGAGGUAGUGGCUCACCAAGGCGAAGAUGGGUACGGGAUGUGAGAGCAUGAUCCCGCUCAUUGGGACUGAGACACUGCCCAGACACCUACGGGUGGCUGCAGUCGAGAAUCUUCGGCAAUGGGGGAAACCCUGACCGAGCGACGCCGCGUGUGAGAUGAAGGCCUUCGGUUGGUAAAUCACUGUCGUAGAGGAGGAAGU